CCUGAAUAAGGGAGUGAAAUAGUACCUGAAACCAUACGCUUACAAGCGGUCGGAGCCUACGGGUGACGGCGUGCCUUUUGCAUAAUGACCCGGCGAGUUGGCGUAGGCGGCAAGGUUAAGGAUUAGAAGUCCGAAGCCGAAGCGAAAGCGAGUGCGAAAUGUGCGACUUAUAGUCGUGUGCGCCAGACCCGAAAACAGGUGAUCUAACCAUGGGCAGGUUGAAGCGGAUGUAACAGUUCGUGGAGGACCGAACGGCUGAAUGUUGAAAAAUUCUCCGAUGACCUGUGGUUAGGGGUAAAAGAUCAAUCAAACCUGUAGAUAGCUGGUUCUCCCCGAAAUAGCUUUAGGGCUAGCCUCAGGUGUUUCGUAACGGGGGUAGAGCUACUGUUCAGGCUAGGGGGGUGCAUAACCUACCCUACCCAGACAAACUCCGAAUACCGUUAUUGAUAACCUGGGAGUCAGACUACGAGGGAUAAGCUUCGUGGUCGAGAGGGAAACAGCCCAGAUUGGCAGUUAAGGCCCCUAAUUCAUGCUCAGUGUAUGUAAGGAAGUGGGGUUGCAUAGACAGCUAGGAUGUUGGCUUAGAAGCAGCCAUCAUUUAAAAAGUGCGUAAUAGCUUACCGAUCGAGCAUUUCUGCACCGAUAAUGACCGGGAGUAAGUGUAGUGCCGAAGCAGCGGAUUCGUCUUCGGGCGAGUGGUAGAAGAGCGUUCCACAUCAGAUACGAGCCAUACCGGAAGGAGUGGUGAAGGGGUGUGGAAGUGAUUAUGCCGGGAUGAGUAACGAUAAUGCAGGUGAGAAUCCUGCACGCCGUAAGCCUAAGGUUUCCUGGGCAAGGCAAUUCCGCCCAGGGUUAGUCGGUCCCUAAGGCGAGGGUGAAAGCCGUAGUCGAUGGGAAGCGGGUUAAUAUUCCUGCACCACUGUUAGCGUUGAAAGAGGAGUGACGGCGGGUAGAAGUUCAUCAAGCUGUUAGACGCUUGUUCCUGAUUUGGGGUGGCGGAUAGGAAAAUCCGUUCGCAUAAUCUCCGAUGAGGGUGGUAACUGAGUGGAAGUCCGUCCAAGAAAACCUUCGCUGGAGCAAAACAGUGACCGUACCAAAUCUGACACAGGAGGGCGAGGCGAAUAGCCUCAGGCGCUCGAGAGAACCAUACGUGAAGGAACUAGGCAAAUUAGCCCCGUAAGUUAGCGAUAAGGGGCGCCCGGAGCGAUCCGGGCCGCAGGAAAAUGGUGGCUGCGACUGUUUACUAAAAACACAGGACUCUGCUAAGUCG
rnacentral:rRNA from 1 species